rnacentral:rRNA from 1 species
AUGGAGUUCCUGAUGCAGCCGAUUAGCAGGUUCCGAAUCCUUGAGGGCAUGGACGGCACGGAUCGGCCGCCGGAGCCAGGGGAGUACGCCGUGCCGGCGAUUGAAUCUGGCGCCCCUUCCACGCCCACGAUGGAGGUUGAGGCGGCGGGUGGGGAUACGCAGGCGCAGCUCGUCGUGGCGGCGCUUGGCCCCCCGGCUGCAUCACAGCAGGCGACCGGGAAGGUGAAUCCAGAGGCCCCGGAGUGGAAGAAGAGGGUCCGGGUUGGAUCAGCGGCUCCAGGGCGGACUCCGUGCCCGACACGGGCAUCUGCAUUGGAGAAUGCAAUCAGGAGUUUCGCCGACAAUCCAGGAGAUGAGGUGACAGUACCUAAACUGGGUACUAGCUUCAAUUCUCUGAAGAGGCCUAUGACUUUUACAAUGUGUUCUCAUGGGAGAAGGGAUUUGGUAUAA